rnacentral:rRNA from 1 species
CAAAGAUUAAGCCAUGCAAGUCUAAGUUUAAGCACCUAAACGGCGAAACUGCGAAUGGCUCAUUAAAUCAGUUAUCGUAUAUUUGAUAGUACCUACUACAUGGAUAACCGUGGUAAUUCUAGAGCUAAUACAUGCUUAAAAUCCCGACUUCGGAAGGGAUGUAUUUAUUAGAUUAAAAACCAAUGCCCUUCGGGGCUCACUGGUGAUUCAUAAUAACUUCUCGAAUCGCAUGGCCUUGUGCCGGCGAUGGUUCAUUCAAAUUUCUGCCCUAUCAACUUUCGACGGCUGGGUCUUGGCCAGCCGUGGUUACAACGGGUAACGGAGGGUUAGGGCUUGACCCCGGAGAAGGAGCCUGAGAAACGGCUACUACAUCCAAGGAAGGCAGCAGGCGCGCAAAUUACCCAAUCCCGACUCGGGGAGGUAGUGACAAUAAAUACUGAUACAGGGCUCUUUUGGGUCUUGUAAUUGGAAUGAGUACAAUUUAAAUCCCUUAACGAGGAACAAUUGGAGGGCAAGUCUGGUGCCAGCAGCCGCGGUAAUUCCAGCUCCAAUAGCGUAUAUUAAAGUUGUUGCAGUUAAAAAGCUCGUAGUUGAACCUUGGGCCUGGCUGGCCGGUCUGCCUCACCGCAUGCACUGGUCCGGCCGGGCCUUUCCCUCUGGGGAGCCGCAUGCCCUUCACUGGGUGUGUCGGGGAACCAGGACUUUUACUGUGAAAAAAUUAGAGUGUUCAAAGCAGGCAUAUGCUCGAAUACAUUAGCAUGGAAUAAUAGAAUAGGACGUCGCGGUUCUAUUUUGUUGGUUUCUAGGACCGCCGUAAUGAUUAAUAGGGACAGUCGGGGGCAUCAGUAUUCAAUCGUCAGAGGUGAAAUUCUUGGAUCGAUUGAAGACUAACUACUGCGAAAGCAUUUGCCAAGGAUGUUUUCAUUAAUCAGGAACGAAAGUUAGGGGAUCGAAAACGAUCAGAUACCGUUGUAGUCUUAACCAUAAACUAUGCCGACUAGGGAUCGGGCGGUGUUAUUUCUUGACCCGCUCGGCACCUUACACGAAAGUAAAGUUUUUGGGU